rnacentral:tRNA from 1 species
AAAUGCCUAGAUGAGUAUUAUCCUACUCCAUAAACA